AAUAAUAGUAAUGCUUCAGCCAAUCAAAAAAUCGCUAAGACUUAGCGACAAAACGAAUGCAGUGCGCAUCAUAAUGCGCAUGGUGUUAAUCCAUUGUUGAAAAUCGUGACAAAUUACGUUUUACCGGCAAAAAAUUCAAAACAUCUUGUGCAGAUUGUAAAAGCUUGAUUCGAAAGCGAGAUAAUUUUGAAAGUGUAAUAAUUCUUACAUACUUCAACAAUUAAGAGAUAAUUCGACAAUUUUCAUGCA